rnacentral:rRNA from 1 species
CAGGUCAGCAUACUGCCGUGAAUACGUUCCCGGGCCUUGUACACACCGCCCGUCACACCAUGAGAGUUGGGGAUACCCGAAGCCUGUGAGCCAACGAAAGAGGCAGCAGUCGAAGGUAGAAUCAAUGAUUGGGGUGAAGUCGUAACAAGGUAAC